CUCGCAAUAGCUCAGCUGGAAGAGCAUGGGACUGUAAAUCCUGGGGUCGGGUGUUCGAUUCACCCUUGCGAGA